rnacentral:piRNA from 1 species
GGAGACACUCUGGUGGACACGCAGGC